rnacentral:lncRNA from 1 species
UACUACCUACCGUUGACUUUUAGGGUUUGGUCAAUUUAUGGAACUACACGUACCAGCUCACUACGUUGGGCGUACUCAGCGGCCAUGCAGGCAUCGGGGAUGCGUGACCCUUACGCUGCGCGUACUGGAGUUAUGUCCGGCGUACGCUCCAGUUUAACUGUAACACCCCCAAUUUAGAAGACCUACAAAGGAAAGAAAAGCUCAAAAUCAGGAAGUGACUCAUCGAGUUGAUGGGAUGACUCGAGGAGUAGGAGCGUGAUUUGGGUCGCGGGUUAAGUGACCUACUUGACGAGUCAAAGGAUUGACUCGAUGAGCUGGUCAGGGUUUGGGAAACCCUAAAUACGGUCCUUGUACCCUAUUUAAAGAACAUUAUAACACUCCAUCAACCUCCUUAAUGCUCUCUCAAGACCAGAAUGAAACGCUAGUGCCUUCCAUGAGCUUGUGAGCCAUUUUUGAGCAUUCUUGAUUGUUUUGGAGCUUGAAGAAGAAGGUGAAGCCUUGGGGAUACAAGAAGAGACUAGUAGAUCCAGAGACCUCAUGCAUCCUUCUCCAUUUUCUGGUAAGAAAGCUUCAACCUUGAUCAUUAUGCACUUAGAUCUCUUCUUUGUCACUUUUGGGGGUUUUUGGUCCAAGAACCCUAUCAUGAGAGGAAUGGAUGUCCCAAGGGCUUAUGUUUUCAGAUCUAGCACCAUUAAGGGUUGUUAUGGCAUAAAGGUUCACGCUUUAUGCCAUAGGAAUCCCCAUGCAAGCAUAAGAAGUGUUCUUUUUGCCUUUUUAGCUCAAAAGGCCAUGAGUAGACGAAAAAGGUGGUAGAUUUUCAUGGUUAUGAGUUGGUUGGGUCCAAAUGUAUGUUUUGGAUGCUUUAAGACCCUCAGAAAUCGAUUGAAUAGUUUUGGAUAUAGAGGUACUCGGCGAGUCACUCAUAGGACUCGGCGAGUCAGAACGUUUCCUUGCCCAAAACGCUUCUGUUAGCAGGUAUGAGUUAGGUUAGUAUGGGACUCAGUCAGUCUAGGUUCAUAGUGGACCUAAAGAUCAUUGUACUCGACGAGUUCAAGGAGGAACUUGGCGAGUCCAAGGCAAUCUCCCUAAUUUAUGAUGAUGGACUCGACGAGUUCAAAGGAGAACUCGGUGUGUCAGAUGAAGAAGGAUCCCAAAGUGUUGGAGGCAUACUCGACGAGUUCUAGGAGAACUCAACAAGUAGGAUCGAAGUCCAGAAGUAACCUGUGAAUUAUGGGACUCGACAAGUUGAUGAGUCAACUCGGUGAGUUGAAGUCAACUUAGAGCGUUAACUUAGAACGUUGACUUUGAUCUGGUUUGAAUUUUGAGGGUAUUGUGGUCUAAGUGUUAUUUUGGGUAAUAAUAGUUCGGGGAGCAAAAGGAUCAGCAGUUCAGGAGUCGCCUGAUAGCAGUCAGAAGUGCUCAGCUAGUCUUCAGCAGUGCAAGGCGAGUCUCCUCACGGUUUGUAUGGGUCUAAGGCACCUAUGUCGGCCCAUUAUGUUUAUGUUUUGUGUAUAGUAGGAAGACCCAAGGGUUAGCCCUAGGCACUUAUUGUAUAUGUUCCGGGUUUUGACCUGAUGUCGGGCAAGGCCCAAGGAAGGUUAGAAUGCUAGAGGUCUUUGUGAUUCUUGCAUGAGUANAUAUUUAAAUUUAUAUUUAUUUUAAAUAAACUUCAAAAAUUCAUAUCUCCUUCAUACGAACUCUGUUUUCGACGUUCUUUAUAUCCACGCGAAGGUGAGACUAAGAUCUACAACUUUCGUUUAGAUUCUAUUGGCAAAUUAUGAAGUUAUUUUUAUUAUUUAUUUAAUAAAAUGGCGUGAUUAAGGAAUUUCUUCAAAAAUUCAUAACUUCCUCAUCCGAAGUCAGAUUUGGACGUUCUUUUUAUGUACGCUCACGGUUUGAGGUUAUCUAUAAAUUUCAUUUAGAUACUUAAGGCUAAAAACUAUUGUAUUGAAACUUCGCAUUUUUCGUUUAAUCACUGUUGCCGGUUUUGCCGAGAAUCUUUGGUUGUUCAUAACUUCUUCGUUAUAACUCGGAUUUUAGGGUUCUUUAUAUGUACGAAAACCUUGAUACGAUUCCUACUACUUUAUUUAACCCAAAUAAGAUUUUAGGAAAGUUAUAUUUUGACCUAGAUUUGAUUGGUUUUACAUUACAUUGUCUUGAAAUAUCGGGUUGUCACAACUUUUAGGGUUUGGUCAAUUUAUGGAACUACACGUACCAGCUCACUACGUUGGGCGUACUCGGCGGCCAUGCAGGCAUCGAGGAUGCGCGACCCUUAUGCUGCACGUACUGGAGUUAUGCCCGGCGUACGCUCCAGUUUAACUGUAACACCCCGAAUUUAGAAGACCUACAAAGGAAAGAAAAGCUCAAAAUCAGGAAGUGACUCGUCGAGUUGAUGGGAUGACUCGAGGAGUAGGAGCGUGAUUUGGGUCGCGGGUUAAGUGACCUACUUGACGAGUCAAAGGAUUGACUCGAUGAGCUGGUCAGGGUUUGGG